rnacentral:rRNA from 1 species
GUUCAUGGCCCUACCACUCUGAAUGCUCCCAAUCUCAUAUGAUCUCAGAAGCUAAACAGGGUCAGGUUUGGUUAGUACUUGGAUGGGAGAGUAGCUGGAUUUGUUUAACCAGGAGUGAUGAGAC